ACACGCCGGGUGGGCAGAGGCCGUCGGCGAGGGGAAUGAGGCGGUGGGGGAGGUUAAGGGAGGGGAUCCGACCCGUGCUCUCCCCCUAACCCUCCCGCUCGGCUCCCACAGCCGGUUCUGCCUGCGGAAGCUGCACGGAAUCGUCGUUUCCGGGGAGAGGAAGGGCCGACUCCCCCCGUCCCUGGACGAGGUGCUGGGGGCGAGGGAGGCCAUCCUGACGCCCUCCCUCUUCGGCUCGUCUCUGGACCAGAUCGUGGAGCGGCAGCGCGGGUGCUUCCCGGCCCUCCGGCUGCCCCGGGUGCAGACCCAGCUGGCCGACCGCGUGCUGGCCCUGGGCGGUGCCCGCACCGAGGGCAUCUUCAGGCUCCCCGGCGACAUCGAUGAGGUGAACGCCCUGAAGCUCCAGGUGGACCGGUGGCACGUGCCCGAGGACCUCCACGACCCCAACG